GCCCCUGUGGCUUAGUGGUUAUAGCAUGCGGCUGUUAACCGCAGGAUCGUCGGUUCAAAUCCGACCAGGGGCG
rnacentral:tRNA from 1 species